rnacentral:lncRNA from 1 species
GAGGGAGUGGUCCCUGAACUGAAGAAAUUGCUGUUUCCCUUCCCAUGUGUACAGGCUGGUUCUGUGAGAAGUUUCUAGUUAGUGAACACAUAGGUAUCUUUGCUUUUACUUUGUUUCUCAAUCACAGUCAUCUCACAAUGCCAAGUGUGGAGUAGUGGGCAUAGAUGUGAUGUCAGCUCCUGGGGACCAUAGAGACUGUCCAUAAGUCUGUGCCCUGGACUGAUGCGUUUCUGAAGUCACAAGGAGCCAUUAUUUCUAGUACAUGAGGGGAAGACAUGAGACGGGUGACAGGGAAGAGAGAUGUCUACCUGGGAGCAGCUUCUUGGGUUAAAUCACAGAACACAGACACCAGUGAAGACAGUGCUGUGGCUUGGAGGAUUUUGUCUAAUUCACAAAGGAAAGACGAGGUGACUUUGCUGGCCCAAGAACCAGGAGUUUCGUGAACAUUUGCCUUCUUCACCUGUUCUGAGGCAGCAGCCUGAGCAGCGCCCUGCACCGACUGUUGCUUGAGCUCCUGCAUUUUCAGACACAGCUCCUGCUGGUUUUCCCAGAGAUGGUGAUGUCCUCAGGCUGUUGAUAUCCCUUAGGAGGUAGAAGAGUGACUACAGACCCCAGAGGGCUGCAAAGAUGUGGGGGAGGGGCACUGUUUGCCUCCCCGUGGCCCUGGUCAGGCACAGCAGAUGGAGAACUACCAGUAAGAACACUUCCCGGAUGAUGUCCAGUAACAAGCCCAUUUUCCUCCAUGACUGAGUCACUGGGAACACUGACGUAGCUGGAUUCUACAAGGUAAUCAUCCUCUGACUUCCCGGAAUCUUGUAAUGAGUCAUCUCUCAGAAGUUCACAUUCCCUUUAUCUUUCACCAAACUUUAUCUAUUAAAAUCAAUAGUGUUGUGACUGGUCACUGUAGAUGCUGGAGCAGCCUAUCAGCUUACACGGUUCACCUGCGGCUCUAAGGCAAAGGCAGUUGCAGUCAACACACUCAGCUCCUGUGACUCCACCUCCCGUGUUAUACCCUAGACCUCCAGACACAGCACUCUUAUUUGCCUGAUACUUUGUUUCUCUGUCUUCCAGAAUGAGACAUAGACCUAGCAAGUCUUACAUGAAAAGCCACUGGUACAAGGUAAACUAUCUAUCCAUCGGUGCAAUACUCCCAUCUACCAGGCAAGGUUUGCCAACUAGGGCAAUAGCGGCACAAGUGCUACAGUGGUAACCAACUACUUUCAGCUUGGCUCUGAGGUUUGCUACACUGCGUUUUAAGCACAUAAUUUGCUGCCUGCUGUACAGCUCUUGUUCACUUCAGUUCUUCCUCUUCUGGCCUCAAUACGAAGACAAUCAUAAAUUUUACUUAAGAAUGUCAUACAUUACACUAUAAAAAUUCUUUUAACUUUUUUUUUUAACCUUUGAGAACUCAGUCUUAAAAGCUGGAGUGAAAAUGCUCUACUUUCUUACACAUUUGCCAUGAUGGUGCUCUCCUCCAUGGGAGGGCAUUUUCUUCAGGUGCUCUCCCUCUGCCCCUCUCUGUGUUCUGUCGGCUGAUAAGAAGUCAGUGUAAAGCUUCCUUUACCUACAGAAGUUUAUCUCAUCUCCAUUUCUGAAAUGUGCUUUAGUAACAUUCAAUAUAUGAUAAAUAAAGCAGUCUCUCAAUGUCCGA